CCCAGUUCCCAGGCUUUCCCUGCUUUCCUUCCAUGCCUCCACCGGCGUCCACGGCGCAGGCUGGGACUGGGCGAGAUGCGCCUCUCGCAGAGUCCCCACCGCCGAAUUCGACCACGCUCACAAUCCCUCACGUGAACAUUCCAUUGCUCCCCCCCGGCUACCCACUGCCGGCCUCUACGGACGACAUGGAGGCGUCUACAGCUGUGUACUUCCGCGAGGGUCGCAACCCUUACGGAAAGCGGCACCGCUCUACGCUCGUGAAUGAGCCGUCCGCGUCGGCAUCUUCCACCGUGUUGGAAAUCGUGAGCGCUGAGGAGGACGUCCGUGCAGCUGUAGACGGUACCGAUAGAGGUCGCUUCGCCGGCAGCGCCCCACAAUCGCAGUCCACUGCGGCGGGGUACGCUGUCACAGCGCAGUAUCUUGCGCAGCUCUUCGACGAACCGGCAAGGUGUGAGCAGGACGUGUACCGCCCCGUGGAUGUGGCGUACUGCCGACGCCUCCUUGCGCAGGAAGCGGAGGAGUUCAAGAUGGCCGCCUCGUCGCAGCCGCCAACAGGAUCAUCGUUGGAGGGCACCGAAGCCGCCAUAGCAAGGGCGAAGAGAGUUCACGAGUUCAACUCAUGCCUGACAGCCGGUCAGCAUCGGCGCUACCGCGGGUUUGUGCUCGAGUGGCUUCGACACCAGCCCUCCCCGGCGGCUCCGCCGAACUCUGCGGAGGUGUUGAAGGUGGUACAGCAGGAGCAACAGCUGUUUCUCGAAGCUCUGCGGCGAGAGGCGUUGUGCCACGUGGUGCGACUCUCGUCCGGCCAUCAGACAACAACCUACGCGUGCCUGGGCAGAGCGCUGACGAGCUUUGCGCAGUAUCGUCGCCUACACCAGAUGCAGGAGCGGCUCGUUUCCUUCCUCGAUGACGCCAAGGCGAAAGAGAGCAAGGGGUUGCUGCUGUCGGGUAGCGCUCCGGCGGCGAGUUCUUCAGCGGCGUCAGGCGCUGCCGAAGAGGAUGCACACAACAGAGACGCCGCUCACAGUCCCGCCGGUGAUCUGCAGCAAGGCAUGCCACACGGGGCGACACCGCUGCAGGUGUUUCAGCGACGCUUUCCGAGUCUACGCGUCCUUCAGUGGCACCUGGUUAAACUGUACAACGCCCAGCAGAAUGGCGUCGCCGCCCCUUUCCCGAAUCUGCAGGUUCGCAGCUUCGCAGCGCCCUCAGGUGUUGCCGCUGGCGGCCGCCCGCACAACCGCCACUCGGAGUCAGACGGCACCUUCAAGGCUUCUUCCUUUUCAGCUGCAGCAGCGCACCCGUCUGCGGUUACGAUGGUGCCUGCAUCGGCGUCCCUGUUGCUUGCUUCUCUGCCCCAGCACAGACAAGACGACGACGGUGAUCAGCCAGGCGCAAGGGAUGGCGGUAGAGUGUCCGACGACGGCGACAGCGAGAGGUCAGCGUCCCCUGCGGUUCCUGCCUUUUCUUCCCACCUGUCUACUGAUGCUGCUGCUGCUGCGAGCCUGACGCCGCUGUCCACGGCAGCACUACACACGUACGUCGCCCACCACCUCCUCCCUCGCCUUGGCUGGCAAGCGUCGAAGUAUCAAGGUAAGGAUGGAGAAGCAGGUAUUGACGAUGAAGGCACCACCGCCGUUGUCGCGUCUGUGUCGCUCUCCAUGACCUUUGAGGCGAUGCUCAAGCUGUUCGUUGCGCACGUCGACACCGAGGAGCCCCGCACGUCCUUUCGGAUUCCCAUCUGUGUUCAUGUGAGGCGCAACCCUGACUCGCGCCACACCGACAACACCACGUCCGCUCGUGGGGUGUACCACGCGCACGUGGCGGUUGGCGCUGCGGUGCCCAAUGUGACGGAGAGCCGACAAAGCAUUCAGCUGGCCGCCGCGGAGUAUCUGCUCUGCCAAGCUGCUAACCGCGAAGGGUCGAGGGGCGAAGCGGCCACGCCCAGCGAGGCACGACAUCUCCCAAGCACCCCCACGGCGGCAGAAACGGCCCCUCUUGCUGCUGCCACAGUUCACCUCUCGCGCAGUACUGCCAUGCCGCAAGACACCAAAACAAGACAGGCAACUGUGCAGUCAAUGACGGGCGGGGCGGGUGGCAAUCCCAUCAAUGCAUCUGUAGAAAACUUAUUGGAGCAGCAGGAGCCUGCCUCUGACACCGUUCUUCCUCUUGUAUUUCGCGUUGCAGCGCCUGUUGCCGCCGCUGUCUCGACGGCACAUGGCAACGAUCCUCUUCAAAGAGUCUCACCGGUGGUGAUCAUGGCGAAGAUGGAGCACCUCAAUGCCACUUCUGCGGUUGCGCCCCACGCUCGUUCGCCGUCAUUGGCAGCGUCACCAUCCACCGUCGACUCUGAGUGUGUCGUUGCGUCACUAACGGAGACGGCGACCCCGUGCCGCUGGCUGCUCGAGAUGCUGUCCCCUCGGGAGAUGCUUCAGCUGGACUUGCUGUUCGCGUGCUUUCCCAGCGCGACGGUGCAUCUGCACCGCGUGCAGUUAUCGCAGAAAAGCGACAGGGACGAGCCCGUGGAGCCGCGAGGCGCGUGCGAGGAGGAGGAGGAGUGCCUUUCCAUGGAUGUGCUGGCCGUCGAGCAGUUAACAUCCCAUAAAUGGGGUUUAAGCCGCCGACAUUUGCAGAAGCGGCCCGCAGAGUCGCUCAUCACGACCCCGUCGCCGGCUGAGGUGCUCGCUACCUACACGUGGGACCUGCUCUACGAUACACUCGCCUGGCUGCUCGACACAACAGCUCGCCGUGUAGCCUACGCGCUCGAGUCGGAGGAGGGCCGCGGAGAGGGGUCAGCCGAGGUCACCACCAACGCUACGGAGGAGCGCUACAUGUACUUGAUCCUGAGCAACCACGCCAACCUGGUAAACACGUCAGCAAGCACCAAGUUGUGCACAAAGAAGAGGCCCGAGAACGCACCAGAGCCAGCGUACGCCACCGUUAUCACCUCCAGCUACACGGAGAGCCGUUUUGCCGUGCGCUACAUAGUGCAGGACGCAGCAGAAAUCUACCCCAAUUAUGAGCCCAAGGUUCCCAUCGCCUUUGAGGUCGCGAACCUGCGUUUUCUCGAGAAAGACACGCAGAGCGGCAGCGACGAGGACGGUGAGGGUGACAUCAAGCCAACUAGAGAGAAGAAGAGUGUGAGCAAGGUGGCGUCUCGGCUUUACCGGGAUCCCCACACGUGGAAUGCAGAGACGAUCCCUUUUACGUUUCCGAGGGCGCCGGCACCCGCCCUAGCACCAACGUGAGGUCAACUAGGGCUCCAUCGCGGAUGCCUCUUUUGCGGAUCUCAAUGAAUAAGCGCAUCGUUCUUCCUUUUUUUCUUUGCCUGCCUGUUCCUUCCUCGACGGCCCCUCCUCCCUCUCUCUCUGUGCCCCCCACGAAGAGUGCGAUCUUUUUUGAGCCAAGGAGCACGCGCGUGUGCCACUCACGGACAUCAGCUGCCGCACAGAACGCAAGCGCGAGCAACGACAAGAGCAGGCACGCGAAUUUCCUUUGCGGAGGAGAACCCUGCAGACAGAAGAACAAGCAGGGCCCGUUUCACAUAAGAGAAAGACAUAUGGGCGAUUCCGCACCAACGGCGCCGUAUGAUAUGCUGUGAAGAGGAAAAAACUAGUGGAGAUGAGCACGGUUGUGGUACACCACUGGCAGGUUGUGCCUGCACCUCUGCUUCUCCCUCUUCGUUCGCUGGAGAGCUCUUCGUGGAAGGUGGUCACGUUUUAGUGGGGACUGCAGCUCCUCGGCCGCCCUUCCUUUGCCCUGUCUUCGUCUUGUUCGCGGACGCGACCUCUCCACCUUUUCUCUCCUCCCUUUUGCUUUGUGUGCCAUAUACAACAAACAAAACCUUCUAAAAACAACAACAAAAAAUGACGAAAACGUGGAGCAG
rnacentral:misc_RNA from 1 species